GUGCUCUCCUUGGCAGCAUGUAUACUAAAAAUUGGAAGGAUACAGAGGUUACCAUGGCCCUUGCCAAAGGAUGAUGCACAAAUGCAUGAAACUCCAUAUUUAA
ensembl:snRNA LOC120095717 U6 spliceosomal RNA